AAUGAACGCUGGCGGCAUGCCUAACACAUGCAAGUCGAACGAGACCUUCGGGUCUAGUGGCGCACGGGUGCGUAACGCGUGGGAAUCUGCCCUUGGGUUCGGAAUAACAGUUAGAAAUGACUGCUAAUACCGAAUGAUGUCGUAAGACCAAAGAUUCAUCGCCCAGGGAUGAGCCCGCGUAGGAUUAGCUAGUUGGUGUGGUAAAAGCGCACCAAGGCGACGAUCCUAGCUGGUCUGAGAGGAUGAUCAGCCACACUGGGACUGAGACACGGCCCAGACUCCUACGGGAGGGCAGCAGUGGGGAAUAUUGGACAAUGGGCGAAAGCCUGAUCCAGCAAUGCCGCGUGAGGGAUGACGGCCU
rnacentral:rRNA from 1 species